rnacentral:ncRNA from 1 species
GCGUUGAAGCGGAAGGUUGCCGCACUUGAUGCGGGUUUUUUCGUGGAGUAUGUCCGAUUUUAAACCGGGCGAC